GAUGAAGAACGCAGCGAAAUGCGAUAAGUAGUGUGAAUUGCAGAAUUCAGUGAAUCAUCGAGUCUUUGAACGCACAUUGCGCCCUCUGGUAUUCCGGAGGGCAUGCCUGUCCGAGCGUCAUUGCUGCCCUCAAGCACGGCUUGUGUGUUGGGCCCCGCCCCCCGAUCCCGGGGGGCGGGCCCGAAAGGCAGCGGCGGCACCGCGUCCGGUCCUCGAGCGUAUGGGGCUUUGUCACCCGCUCUGUAGGCCCGGCCGGCGCCUGCCGAUCAACCAAACUUUUUUCCAGGUUGACCUCGGAUCAGGUAGGGAUACCCGCUGAACUUAAGCAUAUCAAUAAGCGGAGGA
rnacentral:misc_RNA from 1 species